GGGGACGCGCGGAUUCGACAGAGGAUGUCACCGCAGGAUUGCAGGUCGGGGAUGUCAUCUACCUCGUUAAAAAGUGACAAAAAAAGUAACUGGCAACAAAGAGCUAGCACUAGCCGCUUAAUGCGGCUACGUCCUUCACUCCCGAUCCCCGAAGGGUGUGAAAGGGCGACAACAGACGGGGUGCAGCCAGUUUGAAGCCGAUAUUUCUGGCUAAAGAUUAUCGGAUAGUCUGCAUCAAGCGUUUGCUGAUCGAUGCUUGAGCAGUCGAAAUUAACGAUCAGAUAAGCCUGUAGUAUAUCCUUGCUGGGGUAUCUUUUGGACGGGGAGUUCGACCCUCCCCCGUCUCCACCA
rnacentral:tmRNA from 1 species